rnacentral:rRNA from 1 species
AACGAACGCUGGCGGCAGGCUUAACACACGCAAGUCGAGCGCCCCGCAAGGGGAGCGGCAGACGGGUGAGUAACGCGUGGGAAUCUACCCAUCUCUACGGAAUAACGCAUGGAAACGUGCGCUAAUACCGUAUACGUCCUUCGGGAGAAAGAUUUAUCGGAGAUGGAUGAGCCCGCGUUGGAUUAGCUAGUUGGUGGGGUAAAGGCCUACCAAGGCGACGAUCCAUAGCUGGUCUGAGAGGAUGAUCAGCCACACUGGGACUGAGACACGGCCCAGACUCCUACGGGAGGCAGCAGUGGGGAAUAUUGGACAAUGGGCGCAAGCCUGAUCCAGCCAUGCCGCGUGAGUGUUGAAGGCCCUAGGGUUGUAAAGCUCUUUCACCGGUGAAGAUAAUGACGGUAACCGGAGAAGAAGCCCCGGCUAACUUCGUGCCAGCAGCCGCAGUAAGAC